rnacentral:rRNA from 1 species
GAAUAUUGGACAAUGGGCGAAAGCCUGAUCCAGCCAUGCCGCGUGUGUGAAGAAGGUCUUCGGAUUGUAAAGCACUUUAAGUUGGGAGGAAGGGUAGUAACUUAAUACGUUGCUAUUUUGACGUUACCGACAGAAUAAGCACCGGCUAACUUCGUGCCAGCAGCCGCGGUAAUACGGGGGGAGCAAGCGUUGUUCGGAUUUACUGGGCGUAAAGGGCGCGUAGGCGGCCACCGCAAGUCGACUGUGAAAUCUCCGGGCUUAACCCGGAACGGUCAGCCGAUACUGCGGGGCUAGAGUGCAGAAGGGGCAACUGGAAUUCUCGGUGUAGCGGUGAAAUGCGUAGAUAUCGAGAGGAACACCUGCGGCGAAGGCGGGUUGCUGGGCUGACACUGACGCUGAGGCGCGAAAGCUAGGGGAGCGAACGGG